UACGUAGGGGGCUAGCGUUGUCCGGAAUCAUUGGGCGUAAAGCGCGUGUAGGCGGUUCGGUAAGUCCGCUGUGAAAGUCGGGGGCUCAACCCUCGAAAGCCGGUGGAUACUGUCGGGCUAGAGUACGGAAGAGGCGAGUGGAAUUCCUGGUGUAGCGGUGAAAUGCGCAGAUAUCAGGAAGAACACCCGUGGCUAAGGCGGCUCUCUAGUACGGUACUGACGCUGAGACGCGAAAGCGUGGGGAGCGAACAGG
rnacentral:rRNA from 1 species